rnacentral:rRNA from 2 species
UGGCUCAGAUUGAACGCUGGCGGCAGGCCUAACACAUGCAAGUCGAACGGUAACAGGAAGCAGCUUGCUGCUUUGCUGACGAGUGGCGGACGGGUGAGUAAUGUCUGGGAAACUGCCUGAUGGAGGGGGAUAACUACUGGAAACGGUGGCUAAUACCGCAUAACGUCGCAAGACCAAAGAGGGGGACCUUCGGGCCUCUUGCCAUCAGAUGUGCCCAGAUGGGAUUAGCUUGUUGGUGAGGUAACGGCUCACCAAGGCGACGAUCCCUAGCUGGUCUGAGAGGAUGACCAGCCACACUGGAACUGAGACACGGUCCAGACUCCUACGGGAGGCAGCAGUGGGGAAUAUUGCACAAUGGGCGCAAGCCUGAUGCAGCCAUGCCGCGUGUAUGAAGAAGGCCUUCGGGUUGUAAAGUACUUUCAGCGGGGAGG